rnacentral:rRNA from 1 species
GAACGCUGGCGGGUGCUUAACACAUGCAAGUCGAACGGGAUCCAAGAAGUGCUUGCACUUUUUGGUGAGAGUGGCGAACGGGUGAGUAACACGUGAGUAACCUGUCCUUUUCUUUGGGAUAAGCAUCCGAAAGGGUGUUUAAUACCUUAUGUUCUGUCUGCCUCGCAUGGGGUGGGUGGGAAAGAUUUUUUCGGUAAAGGGUGGGCUCGCGGUCUAUCAGCUUGUUGGUGGGGUGAUGGCCUACCAAGGCUUUGACGGGUAGCCGGCCUGAGAGGGUGGUCGGUCACAUUGGGACUGAGAUACGGCCCAGACUCCUGCGGGAGGCAGCAGUGGGGGAUAUUGCACAAUGGGCGAAAGCCUGAUGCAGCGACGCCGCGUGGGGGAUGAAGGCCUUCGGGUUGUAAACUUCUUUUGCUCUGAACAAGGCGCACCGUGGGGUGUGUUGAGUGUAGGGGUUGAUUAGCGCCGGCUAACUACGUGCCAGCAGCCGCGGUAAUACGUAGGGCGCGAGCGUUGUCCGGAAUUAUUGGGCGUAAAGGGCUUGUAGGUGGCUGGUUGCGUCUGUCGUGAAAGCUCAUGGCU